rnacentral:lncRNA from 1 species
CAGCAACGGGAGAACCUUGCCCCGCCCCGCAUCGUUGCGGGGCAUUCGGAUCUUCCUACAGCCUCUCCUACUACAGAGAAGAGAUGGAGACCACUUAAGACUCAUCCCAGGCCUCUGGGACACCGUCCUACCAGCUGCCCCUUCUCUGGGCCUGGAGGUCAAAGUCCCAGCUGUAGAAUCAGACAGGGUUUCAAGUAAUGCAGCUAUCCGGGAGCCGAGGCCUGUCGGUCUGCACAUGUUCCUUCUAGCACCAGCUCUCCAGCUCCCAGCUCAACCGGGAGCUACUCUUCUGACCUGGUAGGACCACUCAAAGGAAAACCAGCUAUGGGGCUAAGCUAUGUUCCCAGUGUGCUGGGCAUCUCUUUCUCUGGGCCUCAGUUUCCCUACCCAUGCCACAGAUGAUGGAC